rnacentral:rRNA from 1 species
CAUGGCUCAGGAUGAACGCUAGCUACAGGCUUAACACAUGCAAGUCGUGGGGCAGCGGAUACUUAGCUUGCUAAGUAUGCCGGCGACCGGCGCACGGGUGAGUAACGCGUACCGAACCUGCCCAUCACACAGGGAUAGGCUUGCGAAAGCAAGAUUAAUACCUGAUGGUCUCAGUUGUAUGCAUGUAUGAUUGAGUAAAGCCUUCGGGCGGUGAUGGAUGGCGGUGCGUCCCAUUAGGAAGUUGGCGGGGUAACGGCUCACCAAUCCUUCGAUGGGUAGGGGUUCUGAGAGGAAGGUCCCCCACAUUGGAACUGAGAUACGGUCCAAACUCCUACGG